UGUGGGAGGGGGCUUGCUCCCGAUAGCGGUGGUUCAGUCACUUAUCUAUCAACUGACCCACCGCUAUCGGGAGCAAGCCCCCUCCCACA
rnacentral:misc_RNA from 1 species